rnacentral:lncRNA from 1 species
UUCCUAGGUUGGUGAGUGUUACAACAGAUAUUUUUGAGGGUUACUGGGUGUAGGUAAAGUUCAGGCAGGCUGCCUACUGAAUGAACCAAAAAUCAUGAAAUCAUAUCCCAGCUGUCAGUGGACUAAACUGUUCUAAUACGGAGUUCAGCCUUACUAUGGCCUGCUUCAUUAUUUGGGGAUUCAGAAAAGGGGGAAUGACCUUUCUUAGCUGAAGAGAUUUUGCUGGUGUCCAUCCAGCCUUCUCUUGAACCUUAUCAAAUCUUUGCAACCACAGUGUCCUUUGGCAAGGAGUUCUGUAGCUUUAUUUUACACUGAAUGAAGAACUAGCUGGCUUUCUUUGCUCUGAACUUACACCCAUUUGGAAGACUUGAGGAUGUAUCCUAUCCCUUCUGAUGUCCGUACCUGGUUCUCAGAAGAGAGGAAGAACUACAUCUCCCAGAAGACUUUCGCUGUGUGGUUUCUGUUUUCUGUUCAGAGAGAAAGAUAAAACUGCCCGGGACUGAUGAGGCUGUCCUUCUUUUGCUGCUUGUCUCUGCAGUGUGUGCUCC